ACAGAAACGGUUCGCAUUUUGGUAACUGAAUAUGCUUUGUUAUUUGAAACUCUGCUAAUAGUGAUCUGUAUGUGUUGGUGUGGAUUAAAAGCCUUGAAGAAAAGACAAUGCAGAAACAACAAUAGGGUUACUCCAUCACAAAGGAAUGAAGAACCAUCCGUUAGAGCUCAUUAUGAUGAAAUUAAUAGCAUAUAUUAUAAUCCAAUUAAUGUUACCAUCUCUCAGCAAAGUACUAGCAGCAAUGCACAAUUUGGGAAUUGUCAACCAUCAAUCAGCAAUGCAAAUUUUAAAAACAAUGAAUCCGAUUCAAAUAACAGUUCAAAUCAACUUAUAACUACUGGUAAAGUCGAUCAGCUAAUAUAUAGUCACAGGAAUUCAUCAAGAUCAUCAACAGAUGAAUCUUACGUCGUCCCAUGUAGAACAUAUAUUGAUUUUGAAAAUGCUAUUACAAACGAAAAUUACGAAUCAAAUAUCGACGAACCAGAAAUACCCGUAGAAGAGUCCUCUAUUUCAAGUAACAACAGUGAAAUAAAUAUGAAGUGUAUUCGAAGAUACGAAACACUAAAUGUAACUGAUAGAAAAGAACAUUAUUAUGAUGACUGUAAUAAGAGUGAAACAUAAUAGAACAAACUACGUCGAAAACCUUCCGAAAACGUUUUUUAUUGUUAUUUUCUUACAAAUAUUUAGCAUGUUUAAGGUAUGCCUGCAUUUGUUUAUUUGUGGAAAUGCGGAUCAGACAGCUAUUUUUAUUUUUUCUUGUAAUUGUUUUAGCUCUGUUUGAUAUGUUUCCGUUAAUAAUGCUAAUAUCUGAUUAGAAGAAGACAUUGGUAUACGUCAAUGAGACAUCUAGUCUACGAGAAAGAAUACAUUGGAAAACCAACAUCUUGCACAAUAGACAGUGUCUAUAUAAUAUGUCAGGCUAGAAAUCUUCCCGAUCGCGAGUACAUAAAAUAUAUGAAAUAAACAGAAACUAUCAAAAGUCUGCCAUAAACACCAUAUGAUUGUUUUUAAUUUUUAAUUACAUUUCUAAAAAUCUACAUACACAUAUUAUAACACAGGGGGUUUGCACUCCUACAAAUUGAAUUUUCAAAUGAUUUUUUGUUUUCAUUUUUAUUUAUUUCUUAACACUCAAGGCGAAGACCUUGCAAAACAAAACAUUAGUUGCUGCAAUUAUUCUGUUGAUUAUUGAAGACAAGCAUGUAAUUCAUUUGAAAAUAAAAAUAUGAAGUCUU